ACAGGGAUUGCCCUAGUAACGGCGAGUGAAGCGGCAACAGCUCAAAUUUGAAAUCUGGCGUCUUUGGCGUCCGAGUUGUAAUUUGCAGAGGGCGCUUUGGCAUUGGCAGCGGUCCAAGUUCCUUGGAACAGGACGUCACAGAGGGUGAGAAUCCCGUACGUGGUCGCUAGCCUUUACCGUGUAAAGCCCCUUCGACGAGUCGAGUUGUUUGGGAAUGCAGCUCUAAAUGGGAGGUAAAUUUCUUCUAAAGCUAAAUACUGGCCAGAGACCGAUAGCGCACAAGUAGAGUGAUCGAAAGAUGAAAAGCACUUUGGAAAGAGAGUUAAAAAGCACGUGAAAUUGUUGAAAGGGAAGCGCUUGCAGCCAGACUUGCCUGUAGUUGCUCAUCCGGGUUUUUACCCGGUGCACUCUUCUACGGGCAGGCCAGCAUCAGUUUGGGCGGUUGGAUAAAGGUCUCUGUCACGUACCUCCUCUCGGGGAGAUCUUAUAGGGGAGACGACAUGCAACCAGCCUGGACUGAGGUCCGCGCAUCUGCUAGGAUGCUGGCGUAAUGGCUGUAAGCGGCCCGUCUUGAAACACGGACCAAGGAGUCUAACAUCUAUGCGAGUGUUUGGGUGUCAAGCCCGAGCGCGUAAUGAAAGUGAACGGAGGUGGGAACCUUUCGGGGUGCACCAUCGACCGAUCCUGAUGUCUUCGGAUGGAUUUGAGUAAGAGCAUAGCUGUUGGGACCCGAAAGAUGGUGAACUAUGCUUGAAUAGGGUGAAGCCAGAGGAAACUCUGGUGGAGGCUCGCAGCGGUUCUGACGUGCAAAUCGAUCGUCAAAUUUGGGCAUAGGGGCGAAAGACUAAUCGAACUAUCUAGUAGCUGGUUCCUGCC
rnacentral:rRNA from 1 species